UGUGGGAGCGAGCCUGCUCGCGAGGGCGUCGUGUCAGGCGAAUAAUUCAUAACUGAUACACCGCUUUCGCGAGCAGGCUCGCUCCCACA
rnacentral:misc_RNA from 1 species